UUUUUGUAUUUAAUAUAAAGUCUAAUCUGCCCACUGAUAAUUUAUUAAAGGGCUGCAGUAUUUUGACUGUACAAAGGUAGCAUAAUCAUUUGUCUCUUAAUUGGUGACUUGUAUGAAAGAUUGGAUGAAAUAUAAGCUGUCUCAUUAUAAUAAAUAAAAUUUAAUUUUUUAGUAAAAAAGCUAAAAUAAUUUUAAAAGACGGGAAGACCCUAUAGAGUUUAAUAAUUAUUUUUAUAUAGAAUAAAAUAUUACAAUUUGGAUUUAAAUAAAAAUAAUUAUUUUGUUGGGGUGACAGAAAAAUUAAAUUAACUUUUUUUUUAAAAUAAACAUUAAUAAGUGAGUAGAUGAUCCAUUAAUAAUGAUUAUAAGAAAAAAUUACCUUAGGGAUAACAGCGUAAUUUUUUUUUUUAGGCCAAAUAAGAAAAAGAGUUUGCGACCCCGAUGUUGGAUUAAGAUAAAAUUUAAAUGUAAAAGUUUAAAGUUUUGAUCUGUUCGAUCAUUAAAA
rnacentral:rRNA from 1 species